rnacentral:rRNA from 1 species
GACGGAGGGGGCUAGCGUUGUUCGGAAUGACUGGGCGUAAAGGGCGCGUAGGCGGUUUUUUAAGUGAGGCGUGAAAGCCCUGGGCUUAACCCAGGAGGUGCGUUUCAGACUGGAAAGCUUGAGUACGGGAGAGGAAAGUGGAAUUCCUAGUGUAGAGGUGAAAUUCGUAGAUAUUAGGAAGAACACCAGUGGCGAAGGCGGCUUACUGGUCCGGUACUGACGCUGAGGUGCGAAAGCGUGGGGAGCAAACAGG